rnacentral:rRNA from 1 species
GAGUUUGAUCCUGGCUCAGGACGAACGCUGGCGGCGUGCUUAACACAUGCAAGUCGAACGGAGCACCCCUGAAGGAGUUUUCGGACAACGGAUGGGAAUGCUUAGUGGCGGACUGGUGAGUAACGCGUGAGGAACCUGCCUUCCGGAGGGGGACAACAGUUGGAAACGACUGCUAAUACCGCAUGAUGCGUUGGAGCCGCAUGACUCUGACGCCAAAGAUUUAUCGCUGGAAGAUGGCCUCGCGUCUGAUUAGCUAGUUGGUGAGGUAACGGCCCACCAAGGCGACGAUCAGUAGCCGGACUGAGAGGUUGGCCGGCCACAUUGGGACUGAGAUACGGCCCAGACUCCUACGGGAGGCAGCAGUGGGGAAUAUUGGGCAAUGGGCGCAAGCCUGACCCAGCAACGCCGCGUGAAGGAAGAAGGCUUUCGGGUUGUAAACUUCUUUUAAGGGGGAAGAGCAGAAGACGGUACCCCUUGAAUAAGCCACGGCUAACUACGUGCCAGCAGCCGCGGUAAUACGUAGGUGGCAAGCGUUGUCCGGAUUUACUGGGUGUAAAGGGCGUGCAGCCGGAGAGACAAGUCAGAUGUGAAAUCCACGGGCUCAACCCGUGAACUGCAUUUGAAACUGUUUCCCUUGAGU